rnacentral:rRNA from 1 species
GAUGAACGCUGGCGGCGUGCCUAAUACAUGCAAGUCGAGCGAACAGACGAGGAGCUUGCUCCUCUGACGUUAGCGGCGGACGGGUGAGUAACACGUGGAUAACCUACCUAUAAGACUGGGAUAACUUCGGGAAACCGGAGCUAAUACCGGAUAAUAUAUUGAACCGCAUGGUUCAAUAGUGAAAGACGGUUUUGCUGUAACUUAUAGAUGGAUCCGCGCCGCAUUAGCUAGUUGGUAAGGUAACGGCUUACCAAGGCAACGAUGCGUAGCCGACCUGAGAGGGUGAUCGGCCAAACUGGAACUGAGACACGGUCCAGACUCCUACGGGAGGCAGCAGUAGGGAAUCUUCCGCAAGAGGCGAAAGCCUGACGGAGCAACGCCGCGGGAGUGAUGAAGGUCUUCGGAUCGUAAAACUCUGUUAUUAGGGAAGAACAAAUGUGUAAGUAACUAUGCACGUCUUGACGGUACCUAAUCAGAAAGCCACGGCGAACUACGUGC